GCAAAGGAAGAGAAGAGAGGGAAGGAGGAGGAGGCUGCUCAGUUGAAGGAGGUGUUAAGGACAAAGCUGGACAAGGCUGAAUCAGAUGUGAAAAGGAGCUCGGGCAUCAUCUCAGACUACAAACAGAUCUGUUCCCAGCUGACCAGUCGGGUGGAGAGGCUGCAGGCAGCACACAGAGAGGACCUGGACAAACUCAGG